ensembl:lincRNA
CUUGAGUGGAGAGGCCAAGGUCCUGGCAUGCAUGCCUUGGAAGGAUAAAUGGGCCCACUUUUGCUGUGUAUCAUUUAAUGGGUGUAAGCUGGCAACCUGACAUUCCUUUCUUCUUUCAGCCAUCCUGGUACAUACACUGCUUCCUGUUUAGCUUAUGCGAGGAAAUAAAUCGGGUCGGAGGCCACACGCUGCCAAAGGUGACACUGCAGGAGAUGCUGAAAAGCUGCAUGGUUCAAGUAGUCUCUGCUUAUGAGAAACUUUCAGAAGGAAAGCAGACGAAGGUAGGUGUUUGAAUGUGCUUUCUCUAGUAACAAAAGAGUGUUGGCAGUUCACAUCAAAGGUCCAGAGUGUUAAGGGUCACCCAGCCCAGUAUCAGGGCCUGUAAAUACGUUCUUUUAUAUUCGGGGUGGCUUUCAGCUGUGUGGUUCACACCUGUUCUCCUGGGUCCUACCAGUCUCCCUGAAGAAGGAUGCUCAGGACCAGUGAGCCGGAUAACAGGUUUCACAGAGAAAGGCCCCACUGCAGCCCUGGCACUGCCACCUGCUCAGUGCACUUUGGGCAAAUCAUGAACCUAGCAUUUCCUCAGGAUCAGAUGUGCCCAGUAAAUAAAGUCUCCCGCUUGUUUUCUCCCAGUUAACACGUAGACCUCCCCACUCAUCCCCGGCAGGGGUGCUUCGAGGAGGGCCGCUGCUCAGCAUAGCUGUGGCGCAGGGCAAUACUUGAGGGGGGUCUGGUCUCCCAGCCUCUGUUUCCCAUUCCACUAAAAACAUGUGGAAGACAGGAGCGGUCCUGAAGCGGCACAAAGUCAGCUAAGUGCUCUGCUGGGGUUCCUCACUAGACCCUUCCUUCAUGCACAAAGCCCUGGUUUGCAGAAAUGCCAUCUGUAGCACUGAGGCCUGUUUGUUUUAAGGGCUGGGUCUCUUCCCUGCUGUUAGGUCAUCAGCUUUAUCACCCAGUUUCUAGUGUACACUGUGGUUAUGAGAUUAAACCUGCUUGGGAAACACCAAGCUGUACAGAACCCGCGGUUGGUCACUGUGCCAUAUAAUGAGCCAUCUGUCCCUGGGUCGGGGACUCACUUGCAGAAAGAAGGUGCAUUUCCACUGACCCAGAAUUGGGUGCUGCAGCUCCUCUAUGACCUGCGCUACCUCAGCGUUGUCCUCACUACCAAGCAGGAGGUGAAGAGUGGUCACAGCAGGCCGGACUCCAGAACGGAGAAAGUGACUGACCACUUGGAAGCACUCAUCGACCCCUUUGACCUGGAUGUGUUCGUGCCGCACCUCAACAGCAACCUUGAUCUCCUGGUGCAGCGGACUUCUGUAACUUGCCCCCAAAUACCCUCGGUGGGAAUGAAGUGCCACAGGCUCACGUUUCACAGUAAACCUACUCAGCACUUAGUAGCCAGGGUGCAGUGUUGACGGGGUGAGACACCCGUAGCUGAGCAGAGAUGCAAAGGCUAAAAGAUGAUGAGAGAAAAUCCCACACACUGGGGUGGCUGGGAUCUGAACUCUUCAAUUGUAGGCAGAGAUUAAUAAAGUUUUACACAAACCUCAGAAAGAGAACAACAUGGCCAUGCGAUUUUGUGAAAGAAAGUUCAGAUUCCAGCUUGGCAUCUUACUAGCUGGGCAACUCAGCACAAGAGAGAUAACCUCUCCAUGCUUCAGUUUCCUCACUUGUAAAAUGGGGUAAUUGUAAUAUCCACCACUUAAUGUUACUAGGAGGGUUCAACAUGUACUAUAGUGUGUAAAUACCUGGCAGCCAAUAGAUUAUAGCUGUAAUAAUUACUAUUCUUAAAAUAUUCUUUGUAAAUGCACUAACGAUUCAAGUAGAGUUAAGCCAAAGGUAGAUUUUUCUGUCUUCUUGCAUCUUUUUUUCCAUUUUUUGUUUUUGUUUGCUGGCUUUAAAGAACUGAAAAUAUAUUUCAGAAUUUUGGAGUAACACUUUCCAUCAAAAUGCAUACAGCAUAGUGGCAUGUGCCUGUAAUCCUAGCACCCUGUGAAGCUGAGGCAGGGGUAUCGUAGAUUUGAGCCCAGCCUGGCAACUUAGAAAGACCGUGUUAAAAAUAGAAAGGGCUGUGAAUGUAGCUCAGUGCAAAGACCCUGGGCUUGACCUCCAUACUUCAAAUCCUAGCCCCACAGGAGGCUGUGAUAAGAUGAUUGUUUGAUCCUAGGAGUUUCAGAGUUUGAGGCCAAUCUGGGCAAAAGUGUGCCUAGAGGAGGUAGGGAAAGGGUAGGGGAGGUGGAAAAUGUAUUCUUUUUGUUGAUACGAAAACAGAAUGUUAUUUGUAUUAUUUAUUCAAGAAACACUUGUUAAAAACCUAGUAAAUUUACUAAACCUUAUGCAAGAAUCCAGGAGAGAGUAGUAAUGGAAAUACAGUUUUAGCUACUUCCUCCUCGUUAUAGUUUCUAUCCGAUGUCCCCCAAAGCCUCCUUCAGGCGUACGCGUGGCUUUGGGGAGGUGAUUGGAUAAUGGGGGUGUUAUAGCUGAGGUGGGCUUGGAAG